AUGUCAUCAUGUGCAUUUCAUCUGCAUACGUGUUCGUCUCAUGCAUCCGAGCAUUUUCCCCGUUAUCCGUUUUGCAUUCCGGCGCUUCGUUCUCCUCCGGUGGUAAUUUCUACCUUUCUUUCAUGUGUGGGCAUUAAACAUUUCCGGAUUGGACCGAGAUUUGUCAUGCAGCCUUGGUUUACUACCGGUAGACCGCUUGUAAAGUUUCGUAUCAUUUGGACUUCGUUUGAUACUCCAACGGUUAACCGAGGGACCGAGAAGGACUCGUGUGUGUUGCAGCCCAACACCCCUCCAAUUUGGCCCAAAAACCCACCUUACUCUGCUCCAUCAUCUAGAGCGUUUGAUCACGAUCGCGUGGCCGCAAACCACACCUCAUUUGGACUCUCCUAG
rnacentral:rRNA from 1 species